rnacentral:rRNA from 1 species
AUUAAUAUCCAAACAAUAUAUGUUAAUACUGGAUACCAUUCUGACCUCCUAAGUAACUUACAUAUAUUUCAUACAUAACUUUAAUUUAAAAAGUGAAGCGUGAAUAAAAUUUUU